GUGAGUGUUUCUUUGGCAGUGUCUUAGCUGGUUGUUGUGAGCAAUAGUAAGGAAGCAAUCAGCAAGUAUACUGCCCUAGAAGUGCUACAC
rnacentral:pre_miRNA from 13 species